UAGAGAUUAAAAGAAGAACUAUUUCUUCUCAAUUUUUUCAUGCAUAAGAGAGAACCUUUCUCUUUUCCUUUCACACCUUUGAGAAGAAUUUUUCUUCUCUAAUUUUCCAUGAUGAAAAUUAAAUCUAAUCUAAUUUCUCAUGUAGAAAAUCAUAUGGAUUUCUGAUCCCUAGAAGAAUUCAAAAGAGAGACCCAAGAGAAGAAUCGUUCUUCUCUCUUCUUCUCCAUUUUUCUUCUUGAUCUAGAACUCUAGGAAGCCCCUUACGCCCAACC
rnacentral:lncRNA from 1 species